rnacentral:rRNA from 1 species
UAGAGUAGCGAAGUCCGCGAUGCCUGGAGGCGAGAAAAGCUCUGAGGUAUGCUAAGGUGCCCGUACCGCAAACCGACACAGGUAGAUGAGGAGAGAAUCCUAAGGCCAACGGGAGAAGGGUUGUUAAGGAACUCGGCAAAUUGACCCCGUAACUUCGGAAGAAGGGGAGCCCCCUACGGGGGGUCGCAGAGAAAUGGCCCAAGCAACUGUUUACCAAAAACACAGGUCUAUGCUAAAUCGAAAGAUGACGUAUAUGGGCUGACGCCUGCCCGGUGCCGGAAGGUUAAGAGGAGAUGUCAGGCAACGAAGCAUUGAAUUUAAGCCCCGGUAAACGGCGGCCGUAACAAUAACGGUCCUAAGGUAGCGAAAUUCCUUGUCAGGUAAGUUCUGACCCGCACGAAUGGCGUAAUGAUUUGGGCACUGUCUCAACAGCCCGCCCGGCGAAAUUGUAGUACUGGUGAAGAUGCCAGUUACCCGCAACUAGACGGAAAGACCCCAUGGAGCUUUACUGCAGCUUAAUACUGAAAUUCGGUAGUACAUGUACAGGAUAGGUGGGAGACUGAGAAAUACAGGCGUCAGCUUGUAUGGAGUCGCUGUUGGGAUACCACUCUUGUACUGCUGGGUUUCUAACCUGCGGCCGUGAAUCCGGUCGGGGGACACUGUUAGGCGGGCAGUUUGACUGGGGCGGUCGCCUCCCAAAAGGUAACGGAGGCGCUCAAAGGUUCGUUCAGCACGGACGGAAAUCGUGCAAUGAGUGUAAACGCAUAAACGAGCCUAACUGCGACACCGACGGGUGGAGCAGUAACGAAAGUUGGAGUUAGUGAUCCGGUGGUAUGUGAGUGGAAAUGCCAUCGCUCAACGGAUAAAAGCUACCCUGGGAUAACAGGCUGAUCUCCCCCAAGCGUCCACAGCGACGGGGAGGCUUGGCACCUCGAUGUCGGCUCGUCGCAUCCUGGGGCUGAAUUCGGUCCCAAGGGUUUGGCUGUUCGCCAAUUAAAGCGGCACGCGAGCUGGGUUCAGAACGUCGUGAGACAGUUCGGUCCCUAUCUGUUGCGGGCGUAAGAGAUUUGAAGGGAGCUGUCCUUAGUACGAGAGGACCGGGAUGGACGUACCUCUGGUGCACCAGUUGUCCUGCCAAGGGCAUAGCUGGGUAGCUAUGUACGGACGAGAUAAACGCUGAAAGCAUCUAAGCGUGAAACUCCCCCUAAGAUGAGAUCUCUCAUCCUUCAAGGAGUAAGGACCCAGAAAGACGAUCUGGUUGAUAGGCCGAAGGUGGAAGCGCAGUAAUGUGUGCAGCUGAUCGGUACUAAUAGUCCGAGGGCUUGACCAA